rnacentral:rRNA from 1 species
GACGAACGCUGGCGGCGUGCUUAACACAUGCAAGUCGAGCGGAAAGGCCCUUCGGGGUACUCGAGCGGCGAACGGGUGAGUAACACGUGAGUAAUCUGCCCUUGGCUUUGGGAUAACUACCGGAAACGGUUGCUAAUACCGGAUACGACAACCGUCUGCAUGGGCUGGUUGUGGAAAGUUUUUUCGGCCAGGGAUGUGCUCGCGGCCUAUCAGCUUGUUGGUGGGGUAAUGGCCUCCCAAGGCUUCGACGGGUAGCCGGCCUGAGAGGGUGACCGGCCACACUGGGACUGAGACACGGCCCAGACUCCUACGGGAGGCAGCAGUGGGGAAUAUUGGACAAUGGGCGGAAGCCUGAUCCAGCAACGCCGCGUGAGGGAUGACGGCCUUCGGGUUGUAAACCUCUUUCAGUACCGACGAAGCGCCGAUGAUGGUGGUGACGGUAGGUACAGAAGAAGCACCGGCCAACUACGUG